rnacentral:piRNA from 1 species
UAUACAUCUUAGUUGGCCACGAUAUAC